UUUGACCCAAAACACAGACUGAGUAGGCUUCUUUCAUCCCGCUUUCCUGAAAUAGAUUUUCAAAUUAUUAAUCAUUUGCUCUUUUUUCUCUUCUCUGCAUUUCAGCUUUUACUAAUACCUUCUGCAACAUAUGCCAUUGCGUAAUGCAUUAUAGGUGGAACGCGUGUGGCACUGUGGGUUAAACCACUGAGCCUAGGGCUUGCCGAUCAGAAGGUCGGCAGUUUGAAUCCCCGUGACGGGGUGAGCUCCCGUUGCCUGGUUCCUGCUCCUGCCAACCUAGCAGUUCAAAAUCACGAAGUGCAAAUAGAUAAAUAGGUACCGCUCUGGCAGGAAGGUAAAUGGCGUUUCCGUGUGCUGCUCUGGUUCGCCAGAAGCAGCUUAGUCAUGCUGGCCACAUGACCCGGAAGCUGUACACCGGCUCCCUCGGCCAGUAAAGCAAGAUGGGCGCUGCAACCCUAGAGUCGUCCAUGACUGGACCUAACAGCCAGGGGUCCCUUUACCUUUACCUUUAAUGCAUUAUAGACCAUGGGUGGGGAGCAAGAGGCCCUCCAGAUGUUGAUGGACUCCAGCUCCCAGCAUUGCUAACCAUCAACCAUGUUGGCUGGGAGUGGUAGGACUUGGGAAUCUAACAUCUGGAAGAGGGCAGGUUUCCAACCCCUGUUCUAAACAUCUGCAUAGGUAUCACUAUAUCAGACCUGGACAUUCCAGUCUGUGAUAUGGUUGGGAUUGGAUCAAAUGGAGGAGGGUUUAAAAAAUGUAUUUACAGUCAACAUUGAAAGCCUUUUUGGACUAUGAGGAGUAUCCAGGAACUUGGGUAGGGUCAUCAUUACCCCCAAAUCACUCCUGAUAGAUUAAUUUUUCACAUGUCCAGAGGCAGAGGAAGUUGAUGCACUAUUUCUUCAUAAGCUUUCCUUGAAAUAAAAGGUUAACAGGCAGGAGCAGGAUGUGACAGAUUACAAAAUAUAAAGGACCCAGUGCAAUUGCUGGCCAGAACAUCUCAGUCUACUGUAACGCCCUUAUACUCUUCAAGUAUCUAUGGAUAUUAUAAAGAAUACAUGAAUGUAAGGAAAUCAAAGCCAUCUGACGUAGCUUUGAACAAAAGUGAUAAAGUAUUCUGCACCAUGUGAGACACAAACCUAUUUUCACGGGAUAGCACUGGAUACAUGCUAGGAAAAUGAAGAGACCUUCUCUAAUUGCCUGGUGUUUUUAUGAAAAAUAUUAGACCCAAAUUCUGGAUGCAAGCAGUCCUGAAUUUUUAAAGGAUGGGAUAUGCUGUGCUGCAGACAGCAUCCAUUCAUUCAUGUGGAGCUCUUCCUUCCAGCACCAGUCUCUGACAUCUUCCCCAACCCCAGAAAAUGGGAAAACAUUCAGAGUGGCACCUCAUGAAGCAUGAGGAGCUGUCCUCAGAAGAAAACUGUGCAUACAUGGAACUUAUUUGUGCUCCUGCCUGGGGGUAGGGCUUGGAACCAAAUCAAGAUAUUCAGGAUGGAUACAAAGGUAGAAACUAAGCAUCUCAGGCUCAGCUGGCAUAAACAAAGUAAAGUCUGGUGACCACUUUCAAAUAAUCGCACGAGGACCUUAUGCCACUCGUGCGUGGAGCAGCACCAGAUUGUUACGGAGAUCUGUUGAUUUUUCAUGACCAUGUUACAAAUGGCAGAAAUAAUUACCUGUGGAAUAGAUGAUGUAAAUGAACACAUCUUCUUCAUUUGAGCUGUUACAUUUGAAACAUUCAACACCACAGCUUGUUGGUAGGAAUAAAACACCCCCAAUGUGGUUUUACCUCUCCCUCCCUCCUCAGCACACACAUACACAUUGGGCAUGUUUUCAGAGAAAUGUGUGGCAUAAGCUCACAUGGCUACCAUACUCAAAGUCUAUUUGACUAUUGACGGCUGGGUAUAUGGCAGGCAGCACAGUCUGUAUCCUAGUAAAGCUGAAAUUUAAAACAUCCAGAACAAUGUGCAAUUUAUAAAACAAAAAUCAACACAUUUUCAAUACAGUACAGGUACAAACUGGGCCUUCAAAGGGAGGCACUGGAACAAAAAUAAAGAUGGUGCCUUUCUGAUUAUGGCAAGAGAAGCAGUUUCCAAAGGCGAUUUCCUUGUUUGUUUGUUUGUUUGUUUGUUUGUUUGUUUGUAUGUUUGUGUGUGUGUAGUAAGUAAGUAAAUACAUACAUACAUACAUACAUACAUACAUAUAUACACCAUUGUGGUUCUUCACACAAGGCCUUGAUUGUUUUAUCUGUUGGCUCCAGCAUGACUGACCAGACUUGCCUGUGUGAAAUGAAUUUGUGAAGUGGACAUCACCUCUGGAUAGCAAACAUAGCCUUAUUUGAAAGGUUUGUGGGUGCACCAUUAAGACAAGGCUGCUUCUCUCUGUAGCCAUAAACCGAUGAAAGAUUUUUCCCUCCCUCCCUCCGUCUUUCAGAUUGUUUCCAUAACAAAAGUCAGGGUGAGUCACAGGCUGGUUUGCAUUCUCAAUUUGCUUUAUUUGCCUUAUUAGAAAUCAAAGAUAGACCAAGUAAGGGCAGUGCAAGCAUAUCUGUCAUCAGCCCAGCUUUUAACAUUUAUUCUUUUUGUAGGGCUUCAGAAUACACUGCUUGCAGCAGCUGGCAGAUACAGGCAGGAAAACAACUGAUCCCCCUGUCAACACCACCCAACCUUCUGAAGCCAAGCAGGCAGUUACACAGUAACACAUAAAGGCCAGUGUUUUGUUUAGCCAAUAUCCUUGUGUGUGUGUGUUUUUCCCCCCUCCUCUUUUGUUCAGAAUAUGCAACGCAUUAAAGGGACCUGAUUAGAACAAAGGAACAGGGAUCACGGUAACAAUUAUGAUAGGAAUGAAAAUGCAUAAUUAAAAAACCCACAAAAAUCAGGAAAAUAAUGCCAGGUGAAGAUGAAUACAUGUCCGCUGGGAACAAUUACAUAGCAGAUGCAUCCAAAAAUUCAUUAUCGACGUAUAAUUUGACAUGCCCCUAGUAAUGUAAUUCAUUACAUUUACAAAUAAUUCAUCACAGGUGUUGUCAACUAGAAUGCCUCACAGGUUCUUUGUGUUAUUCACUCGGAAGGGAGGAAGUGUCCAGUCUUUAAAUACACGUUAAAUACUUUUUGAUAAAACGAUUUAGCCUUUCUUUUCUUGUGAAUCCUGGUGUGGCAAAGAAUAAACAUCACCCCUAUCAUUUGCUUUCUAAAAUGGAUUAAUUUUCCACUGAGCAUAGUGGGAAAUUAGUACUGGGGAGGGGGUGCAUGUUUACCAAUUUCUCCAUUUAGACCACACUUGUUUUGUAUAAAAACUUGGAAUUGUUUUACAUACAUCCUGUCCACCACGUGUGACAGUUCGUACGCACUGAAAUUUAUUUGAAAUAUUAUGGAGAGCUGUACUCAUUUUGGCUGACUGAAUAGGAGUUUCCUGGCUUGCUAAUAUUGUACAGGACGUUAAAUUCAAUUUAGCUUGUGUUACAGAAACACUAUUUAUAAUAUAGAUCCAUCAUACAUUAUGUAACUUUUCAUAUAAAACAAGUGUGUGCACCAUGUUCCAACUAGGGGCCAAACCUGCAUCUAAACAGACUUCUGCAUAUCCCUAGGUGGAUUAGGAAUUAGGAGGACGAAGAGGUAUGGAUAGGAUUCCCUUUCUUGAAUCUCAAGUUGGGAGUUCAUGCAUAUAGCCCCACAUUCAGCUGUUCCCAGUGGAAGCAAGGGCUGGGUGUACGACCUUUAAACAGCUUAUUUGUGCUGUUGUUCCACCUCUUUACCGCUUUAGGAGACUAGUAAAAUAUUGGUUCUUCAAAAAAAAGUCUUUGGGCAGAUAUUUACCUUUCCUAAUUCAAAUGCUGUUUCAUUUUUAAUUACUGCAUUGCUUGUUGCUGCUGUGUGAAUAUGUGGUUUUUACAUUGGUUUUAAACUUAAAACAAAACAAAAAAAAAAGUUAGCCACCUUGGAUUCAUUUUGGAUGUAAGGCAGAGAGAGAGAGAGAGAGUAAUGAAUCGCAUGUAUCUGAAUAGUGCUGUGUGCAUGUAGACCUGGCAUUGGCAUAAGUGUGAUGUUGGAUCAGGACUAUUUGCAUCAACAGGAUCUUGUAUU